GUUGUUUCUGCGAAAAUCAAUUUAUGAUGGCUUGAUGCUAGGCUUUAAGACUUUAUCCGCUUGCUGUCUAGUUUUCUGGUCUUUGUGAAUGCACUUUUCGUUGAACAAGUCAACAUCAAUUUCUUUUGCUGUAAAAGGGUAAGAGGAAGGUGGCUUCAGCUUCGGUUGAAGUGUUUAUAGCCUUUUAUCUCUGCAGUCGGAGAGAUUGAGGUCUGCAGCGUAGACUCUUCGGGGUUAGAUACGUCGGUGCUAAGCUAUAGCUUUUCAUAGACAACUUGUUGACUAUGUUUAGUCAUGUGGCUUACCCGCUGGCGCUAUUUUACCUAC
rnacentral:rRNA from 1 species